rnacentral:rRNA from 1 species
UACGUAGGAUCCAAGCGUUGUCCGGAUUUACUGGGUGUAAAGGGUGCGCAGGCGGACUUGUUAGUCAGAGGUGAAAUCUCACUGCUCAACAGUGAAACUGCCUUUGAUACUGCAGGUCUUGAAUCCAGAAGAGAGUUGUGGAAUUCCGAGUGUAGCAGUGAAAUGUGUAGAUAUUCGGAAGAACACCAGCGGCGAAGGCAGCAACUUGGUCUGGUAUUGACGCUCAGGCACGAAAGCAUGGGGGAUCAAACAGG